rnacentral:snRNA from 1 species
AUGCCCUGGUUUCUCUUCAGAGCGCUUUCGCCUUUUACUAAAGAGUUCUGUGGAGAGAAAUGAUGACAAGUCAUUAAUGAAUUUUUUAAGUCUUGCUUUGGCAAGAC